GUACUGAAUCACCAAGGCCCUUUUUCUUGGCCUGUUAUGUGUGUGAUUAUAUUUAUCCCAGUUUCUGUGUAAUAGACAUGAAAGCCUCCCCUGCCACACCCCACCUCCAAUCUUCCUUUCCCUUCCACCAGGGAGUGUCCACUCCAUAUACCCUUACAUUUGGACAAUCAAGGUGCACAAUUGUAAGUGACCACAACCAUGCAUCUUGGAAAUUUAUGUGCAUAACUGCACAUGGCUUAUCCUAUUUGAAUAAAGUCCUACUCUCAGACCCCCUUUGCAGUAUAGCUGGGGUGCUGAUCACUGAGGCCUCUUUGCUUGGCUUGUCUAUAUUCUUGUGUACUAGAUAAGGGCACCUUCUCAUGGACUCCCUUUGCUUUUCAACAAGGAGUACCCACUACUUUUUAAGAUUCUUAUAUUUGUCCAAAGUACAUGGUUUUAAUUGACCACAACAAUGUCCCUUGGACAUUAAUGUAUGUAAUCACCACAUGGUUCAUCCUAAUUAAACAAAGUUCUACCUUCUCACCCUCCAUUUGCAGUAUACCAGGGUUGCUGACCCCCUAAGUCCCCUUUUCUUGGCUUGUUGACAUGCAUAAUUGCAUUUAUGUUGGUUCUUGUGCCCUAGACAAGGAUGCCCCACCUCUUUUCAAUAGUGGGUGCCCACUCCUUAUGAUCUUUACAUUUGAACAGUUAAUGUGAAUAAUUGCAGUUGUCCACAACCCUAUCACUUCUAGGACCAUUAUACCUCUUUUGCAUUACUGUGGGGUAUACUGUUUCCCUCCAAGGCCCCUUCUGGUGGACUAUCAACAUAUAAUUGAAAUUUUCUUUUGUCUUUGUCAGUAGAUUAAGGUCAUACCCCAUCACCUUUCCUUUGUAGUACAACAGGGUGUCCUGAUCAACCAAAGUCCUGUUGUUUUGGACUGUUAAUAUGUGCAAUUACAUUUGCUCCUGAUCUGUGCACUAGAUAAGGAUCCUACCUACUUUCUUAGUGUUUUUAGCAGGUAGUGCCCACUACUCAAGACUGUCACUUGGAAUGUUCAUGUGCACAAACUCAAUUCUCUAAGCAUGUUCCUGUACCACCUUUGCUUUAGAGCAGGGGGAUGAUAUUCACUAAGUGCCCCUUCUUUUGGACUUAAUAUGCAUUAAUGCAAUUGUCCACCUCUUCUUUUAGACUAAGAGUUGAUCUCCACAUAUUCCCCUUGCAUCAGGGGCAUGUUAAUUAUGAAUGAACCCUUUUCUUUUAAUAUUAAUGUCAUAAUUGUAUUUGUGGACCUGUGUAGGAGAAAAAGACCCUAUGUUCCUCCCAUUACCCUUUGGAUUGCUGCUGAGAAGUGUUAACUACUCAUAAUCUCAGCUCUUGGACAAUUAAUAGCAUUAAUAACAAUUAUCAAGGGCACUGAUCAUUAGAUAAGACUCCUGCUUCCUCGUUGCUUACAUCGGGGGUACUGACCCACUAAGGCCCCUUGUACUGUUAAUGUGAAUAUUUGCAAUUAUAUAUGUCUCCUUCUGGUAGAGUGGGAUAUUAUGCCCUAGUAUCCCCUUUGCAUUACUGCAGGGGCUGCUGACUACUCAAAACUUCUCCUGGGACUGUUAAUAGGCACAAUGGCAGUUAUCAAUGGUUUUCUCCCUCCCUGACCUUGUUAAGCAAGCGCCCCACCCCACCCUUAGUUUCCCAUGGCAUAAUAAAGUAUAAGCAUUGGAGUAUUCCAUGCACUUGUCUAUCAAACAGUGGUCCAUACUCCCAACCCUUUUGCAUUGCGCCAGUGUGUAAAAUCACAGGUAGCCAUGGUGUCAUGCUUUAUAUACGAAGUCUUCCCUCUCUCUGCCCCUUGUGUGCCCUUGGCCCCUUUUUACAGACUAUUGCUCACAAUCUCAGGUGUCCAUAUUUGCAGCUAUUAGGUAAGAUUGUGCUGUCUCCCUCUUCCCUUCCCUCUGCCCUGCCCCUUUUGCCUCUUUGCUGGGUAAUGUUGACCAGACAAGGCCCUUUCUCUUGGACUUAAACAAUUCUCAGUUGCACUUUCCUUGGUCCCACCCAUUAUACAUGAACCCCUCUACUUCCUUUCGCAUUGCUUCUGAGUAUGCUGACUACCCAAAGCCCCUUCUGUGUUAUUAAUAAACACAGUACUGAUUGUCCCAUUUUUCAGCCCAUCAGUCCAAGAUCUCCCUACCACUUUGGUGUGUUGGUGCAGUGUUGACUAUGAAAAGCAGGCCUGAACUAGGUGGAUAAGCCUUCACUCAUUUUCUUUCAUUUAUUAAUGAUCCUAGUUUCAAUUAUUGUCAGAUUCUGGGGACAAGAACCAUUCUUGCCCACCUGUGUUACUGCUUUACUGUGCAAAAUACUGAAGGCAAGUCAGACCCAGGGAGCUGGAUUGCCAUCCUUUAUUUUGUGUUUCCAGUGUACACUAUAAAAUUGUCUCCCCAGGAAGGAAGGUUGGCACUUUCUCUGCAUUCUUCUUUCCAGAGCAGAUUGCCUGGUUAAGAAUCUCUUGUUGUCCCCUUUGUAUAUUGUUAUUGUAAAGUGCCAAAUGCCAGGAUACAGCCAGAAAAAUUGCUUAUUAUUAUUAAAAAAAUUUUUUUAAGAAAGACAUCUGGAUUGUAGGGUGGACUCGAUAACCUGGUCAUUAUUUUUUUGAAGCCAAAAUAUCCAUUUAUACUAUGUACCUGGUGACCAGUGUCUCUCAUUUUAACUGAGGGUGGUGGGUCUGUGGAUAGAACACUGACUCUUGCUAUUUUAAUAUCAAAGAUAUUCUAGAGUGGAACUCUUAAGACCAGUAUCUUUGUGUGGGCUUUACCAGCAUUCACUUUUAGAAAAACUACCUAAAUUUUAUAAUCCUUUAAUUUCUUCAUCUGGAGCACCUGCCCCUACUUAUUUCAAGAAGAUUGCAGUAAAACGAUUAAAUGAGGGAACAUAUGCAGAGGUGCUUUUAAAAAGCAUAUGCCACCUUUUUUAUUAAUUAUUAUAUAAAAUGAAGCAUUUAAUUAUAGUAAUAAUUUGAAGUAGUUUGAAGUACCACACUGAGGUGAGGACUUAAAAAUGAUAAGACGAGUUCCCUAUUUUAUAAGAAAAAUAAGCCAAAAUUAAAUAUUCUUUUGGAUAUAAAUUUCAACAGUGAGAUAGCUGCCUAGUGGAAAUGAAUAAUAUCCCAGCCACUAGUGUACAGGGUGUUUUGUGGCACAGGAUUAUGUAAUAUGGAACUGCUCAAGCAAAUAACUAGUCAUCACAACAGCAGUUCUUUGUAAUAACUGAAAAAGAAUAUUGUUUCUCGGAGAAGGAUGUCAAAAGAUCGGCCCAGCUCAGGGAGCAGUUUGCCCUACUAGCUCCUCGGACAGCUGUAAAGAAGAGUCUCUGGCUCUUUAGAAUACUGAUCCCAUUGAAGAUACCACGCUGCAUGUGUCCUUAGUAGUCAUGUCUCCUUAGGCUCCUCUUGGACAUUCUGAGCAUGUGAGACCUGAGGACUGCAAACAGCUAUAAGAGGCUCCAAAUUAAUCAUAUCUUUCCCUUUGAGAAUCUGGCCAAGCUCCAGCUAAUCUACUUGGAUGGGUUGCCAGCUAUCUGGAGAAAAAGAUCUUCCUCAGAAGAAUAGGCUUGUUGUUUUACAGUGUUAGUGAUCCAUUCCCUUUGACGAUCCCUAGGUGGAGAUGGGGCAUGAGGAUCCUCCAGGGGAAAAGCUCACUACCACUGGGCAACAACCCUAGGUCAGGAGGUUCUGUCAAGAUACUUUCCUGGUCCCAGAUAGGAAGAUAAAGUCUCAAAAACAACCACCACACGUCAAGCUCUUCAUUGUUCCUAUCUGCCAAAUCAUUAUACUUCCUACAAGCAGUGCAGAGAGCUGAGUCUUCAGCAGGUCCAAGAAAUUUGAACACACUGAAGGAAGUCAGCCUUCCCACCUGAAGAUCAACAUGCCUGGCACUCUAGCACUUGAGGAUAGCUGAAUGAAUGUGUAUUUCUUUGUCUCUUUCUUUCUUGUCUUUGCUCUUUGUUCUCUAUCUAAAGUGUGUCUUACCCAUUUCCAUGUUUCUCUUGCUAAUUUCUUUCGUGUGUGCCUUUGCCUCAUUUUCUCUUUUUGUUCACAAGAGUGGUCUGUGUCUUGUCUUAGACAUAUCUCUCAUUUUUCAUUUUGUUGCUAUUUCUCUUUGCUCUCCUAGAUGUGGCUCUUCUUUCACGCUUUAUUUCAUGUCUCCUUUUUGGGUCACAUGCUGUGUGCUUUUUGUCCUUUUCUUGUUCUGUCUACCUCUCCUUUCUCUGCCUACCUCUCUUUUCUCUUUGUGAACUGUGAUUAUUUGUUACCCCUUCCCCUUCUCGUUCGUUUUAAAUUUCACCUUUUUUCUGAGUCUGGCCUCCUUUCUGCUGUUUCUACUUUUUAUCUCACAUUUCUCAUUUCUGCAUUUCCUUUCUGCCUCUCUUGGGCUAUUCUCUCUCUCCUCCCCUGCGUGCCUCAGCAUCUCUUGCUGUUUGUGAUUUUCUAUUUCAGUAUUAAUCUCUGUUGGCUUGUAUUUGUUCUCUGCUUCUUCCCUUUCUACUCACCUUUGAGUAUUUCAGCCUCUUCAUGAAUCUAUCUCCCUCUCUUUGAUUUCAUGUAAUCUCUCCUUAAAUAUUUCUUUGCAUAUGUGGGCAAGUGUACGUGUGUGUGUGUCAUGUGUGGCAGAGGGGCUUCCUAACCCCUGCCUGAUAGGUGCAGAACGUCGGCUAUCAGAGCAAGCAUUGUGGAGCGGUUCCUUAUGCCAGGCUGCCAUGUGAGAUGAUCCAAGACCAAAACAAGGCCCUAGACUGCAGUAAAACCCAGAACUCAAGUAGGGCAGAAGGUGGAAGGCUCAUAUGGAUAGAAGGCCCAAAGUAUAAGACAGAUGGUUUGAGACUUGAGACCCGAGGACUAAGAUGGAAAGCCCAUGUUCCAAGAUAGAUAGAAGCCUCAGGCCUGAAACCAACAAAAGCCUCAAGAGCCAAGAAAACAGAGGGUGGCCUGAAUUGGACCGAAGGCCUGAGUUGGAUGGAAGUCUCAAGGCUUGAGUUAGAAGUCUUAAGACCUGGGACAGGACACAUGGAAGGCCUAAGAACUGAGACUUGUGACACAAGGCCAACGACCUAAGAUUAGCCCAGGGUUGUAGCUGGAAGACCUACAACCCAAGGAUGGAAGGCCCCUGUCACAAAGCCUACCUAGAUGGAUAGAGGACCCAAGCGAAAAAGGUAUCUCAAGACUAACGGCCGGAAUCUGGAGGCCCAUGACCCAGAACCCAGGAAGGAUAGAAGCUUGAAGACCUGGGGAAAUCCCAAGAUGAGAACCCUAAACCCUACCUCUUUUCUAUUGUUUACACUUCUUACUCUUAGAUAUUUCCAGUUCUCCUGUUUAUCUUUAAGCCUGAUUCUUUUGAGAUGUACUUUUUGAUGUUGCCGGUUACCUUUAGAUUGACAGUAUUAUGCCUGGGCCAGUCUUGAGCCAGCUUUAAAUCACAGCUUUUACCUAUUUGUUAGGCUAUAGUGUUUUGUAAACUUCUGUUUCUAUUCACAUCUUCUCCACUUGAGAGAGACACCAAAAUCCAGUCAGUAUCUAAUCUGGCUUUUGUUAACUUCCCUCAGGAGCAGACAUUCAUAUAGGUGAUACUGUAUUUCAGUCCUUUCUUUUGACCCCAGAAGCCCUAGACUGAGAAGAUAAAAUGGUCAGGUUGUUGGGGAAAAAAAAGUGCCAGGCUCUCUAGAGAAAAAUGUGAAGAGAUGCUCCAGGCCAAUGAGAAGAAUUAGACAAGAAAUACACAGAUGUGCCAGACUUCUGAGAAGCACCUGCCAGCAACAGCUUCCUUCUUUGAGCUUAGGUGAGCAGGAUUCUGGGGUUUGGGAUUUCUAGUGAUGGUUAUGGAAAGGGUGACUGUGCCUGGGACAAAGCGAGGUCCCAAGGGGACAGCCUGAACUCCCUGCUCAUAGUAGUGGCCAAAUAAUUUGGUGGACUGUGCCAACGCUACUCCUGGGUUUAAUACCCAUCUCUAGGCUUAAAGAUGAGAGAACCUGGGACUGUUGAGCAUGUUUAAUACUUUCCUUGAUUUUUUUCUUCCUGUUUAUGUGGGAAGUUGAUUUAAAUGACUGAUAAUGUGUAUGAAAGCACUGUAAAACAUAAGAGAAAAACCAAUUAGUGUAUUGGCAAUCAUGCAGUUAACAUUUGAAAGUGCAGUGUAAAUUGUGAAGCAUUAUGUAAAUCAGGGGUCCACAGUUUUUCUGUAAGGGGUCAAAUCAUAAAUACUUUAGACUGUGGGCCAUAUGGUUUCUGUUACAUAUUUGUUUUUUAAACAACGUUUUUAUAAGGUCAAAAUCAUUCUUAGUUUUUGAGCCAAUUGGAUUUGGCCUGCUGUUCAUAGCUUACCACCCCCUGAUGUAUUAUUUGUUAUUCAGAGAAAAUUUCUGAAUACUACUAGUUUCCUUUUCUGUGCCUGUCCCUGUGCUAGGCACUAAAAAUGCAAUGAUUAUUGAUAUCUAGGUGACCUGAAAAAAAAUAGUGAAUGUGCUUUGUAAACUGUAAAGCACUUGUAUUCUACUGUGAUAAGCGUUGUGGAUACAAAGAAAGGAGCAAGCAUAAAAAAGUGCUCUUUCAAAAGGAUAUAGUACUAUGCAGACACAAGGAAUUGUUUGAUAAAUGAAUAAAUUAUAUGUAUAUUUGAGGCCAAUUUGUGUUUGCUGCUCUGGUAAUUUUGAGUAAAAAUGCAGUAUUCCAGGUAUCAGAAACGAAAACACAUGGAAACUGCUUUUAAACUUUAAAAUAUACUGAAAACAUAAGGGACUAAGCUUGUUGUGGUCACCUAUAAUGUGCCAGAUACCAUGCUGGGUGCUAGAGCUACCAAAGGGGGAAAAGUAUUCUCAUAGAACAAAAAAUUUCAGAAAGGUGCAUAUUAAAGUGCUUUGUAAACUAAAGCAUGAUACAAAUGUCAAUGGGCUACAUAUUUAUGAAUGAAUGAAUGGAUGAAUGAAUAUUAAGUGCCUCUUACAUACCAGCUAUUUUGGGUACUGUAAAAUACAAGAUUAAUUCUCCUAUGUAAUAAGAGGAAAGUUUAUCCUCUAUACUAUUCAGAUGUAAGGAAUGAUAUAUUGCUUAAUUUUAAACAAUCAAGACUUUACUGGUGAGGUUAAGUUAAAUUAUUACUGAUACAUUUUUCCAGGUAACCAGGAAAGAGCUAGUAUGAGGAAAUGAAGUAAUAGAUGUGAGAUCCAGACCGAAAGUCACUUAAUUCAGCUUGCGAAUGUGCUUUCUAAAUUAUAAAGCACUUGUAAAUGAAAAAUUUGAUGCUUUCUGUAUGAAUAAAACUUUCUGUAAGCUAGGUAUUGUCUCUACAAAAUUCUCAUUGUAUAGUUAAACCACAGUGAGAAGGGUUCUAUAAGUAGUUAUACAAACCAAGGGUUUAAAUACCUGUUAAAUAGAUCAAUUUUGAUUGCCUACUAUGUGAACUCACUGUUAAAGGCACUGAAAAUUUAUCAUAUUUCAUUUAGCCACAGCCAAAAAUAAGGCAAUACCUAUGUUAGCAUUUUGUGAACUCUAAGGCACCAUAUAAAUGUAACUGUUGAUUUUCUCACUUGGUGCUGGGUACUAGGUUUAUAAAAUUGUAUGAUAGUUAUUAUAUUGUGCAAAUAAAGUAGGAAAAUUUGAAUAACAAUGAUUAUCUUUUGAAUACGCAUACGCAAGGGAUUGGUUGUCUGAAGAAUGCCACUAUAGUAGUUAUCUAUUGUGUGCCAAUCUCAUUGCUAGGCAUUGGGGAUGCAAAGAUAAACCAUCUUUAUUGUGUCUUGGGUAGCAGAAGAAAAUAUGUGUAAAAUCAAUUUAUAAUUUGUAAACUGCCACCCAUAUAUAAGCUAUAUCUGCUGAAUGAUCAUUGAUUACUCUUAUCCUUAGAGAUAACAACUGGGGGCACAAACAUUUAUUAUCAUUAUUGAACCUACAACAGAGAUCUAUGUGUAGAUUUACAAAGCCUACAGUUCUAUACAGAUAGGAAUGAACUAUUGGCUUACUGAAUGGUGAUUACUUUCUGUGGGGCUCGGAACUACAUGCCCUAGGAUAUAAAAAUGAUGUUAUCAUUAUAGAGUGCUCACAGAAGGAAAUGAAGUAAUAUAGGUGUGAGAUCCAGACCAAAAGUCAUUUAACAAGUUUAUUCAGUGAUGAAAACAUGGGACAAAUGGACUAAUAUAAGGCAGUGUACUAAGCUGAGUAGAGAGAUAAAGUCCUGUCCAGAAGAUACAUGCUUCCUGGCCUGAUUGAGGAGAUGGAAAAUUUUUGCAAAAAACAAGGUGUUGUGGUCUUCCAUCCAGUUUCUUAAGUGCUGAUGAUAAAAGUGAAUUAGACCCACCUUGACCUGGCCUACAGAAGUAAAGGAGUAAAAAUAAAUGCCUCAGGCGUGCUUUUUGAUUCAUUUGAUAAACAAAGCAUCUUUUAUGUGGAAUAUACCAUUCUGGGUCCUGAGGAUAAGAGAGAUGAGGGCAUUAGAUCACUGACAGCUGAAGAUAGAAGAACAUCUUUGGUUUGAUUGUUUAAAUAAUAUUUCAAUGCCUAUUCUCUGCAAGGUACUAUGUUUCGUAAAUUAAAUAGGUCUGGCCCAGAAGACCCACUCAAUUGCCUUUGAGAUUAAAAAAAAAAAAAAAAAGAAAGAAAAAUGCAAGUUUCUUUCAAAAUAAAGAGACAUUUUUCCUAGUUUCAGGAAUCCCCCAAAUCACUUCCUCAUUGGCUUAGUUUAAAGCCAGGAGACUGAUAAAAGGGCUCAGGGUUUGUUCUUUAAUUCAUUAACUAAACAUUCUGCUUUUAUUACAGUUAAAUGGUUCAAGAUGUAACAACUAGUUUUAAAGGUAUUUGCUCAUUGGUCUGGCUUAGAGACAGGAAGACAUAUGAGCAAUAAAAAAAAGAUUCUUUUGCAUUUACCAAUUUAGUAAAAAUUUAUUAAAACUGAAUAAAGUGCUGUUCUUAAGUGCUUGAAAGACGUAAACCAAAGUGCACUUUAUCUCAUUUAUCUUAUGGUGGAAACACAGGAACAAAUUCUCUAAGAGACUGUGUUUCUUUAGUUGAGAAGAAACUUCAUUGAGUAGCUGUGAUAUGUUCGAUACUAAGGAAAAACUAAACAGAUCACCUUUGACAUGCGUUGUAGAGUGGGAAUAAGAGAGGGCUUUUUAUUUUUUCGUUCAUACGAGUAUUGAUGAAGAUGAUACUAAAUGCUAAAUGAAAUAUAUCUGCUCCAAAAGGCAUUUAUUCUGACUUGGAGAUGCAACAAAAACACAAAAAUGGAAUGAAGUGAUACUCUUCAUCAAACAGAAGUGACUGUUAUCUCAACCAUUUUGUUAAAUCCUAAACAGAAAACAAAAAAAAUCAUGACGAAAAGACACUUGCUUAUUAAUUGGCUUGGAAAGUAGAAUAUAGGAGAAAGGUUACUGUUUAUUUUUUUUCAUGUAUUCAUUCAUUCUACAAAUAUAUUCGGGUGCCAAUAGGUACUUGGUAUAAGGUUUUUGGCCCCAGAGACAUGGGAAAAAAAUGCAUGCCUUCCCAGAGAAUGCCUAAUACUUUCCUUUUGGCUUGUUUUCUUGUUAGGGGCAUGGCUUAGUCCCUAAAUAACAUUGUGUGGUUUAAUUCCUACUCCGUAUCUCUUCUACCACUCUGGCCACUACGAUAAGCAGGUAGCUGGGUUUUGUAGUGAGCUUGCUCCUUAAGUUACAGGAACUCUCCUUAUAAUAGACACUUCAUUUUCCUAGUCCAUCCCUCAUGAAAAAUGACUGACCACUGCUGGGCAGCAGGAGGGAUGAUGACCAACUAAUUCCCAAACCCCAGUCUCAUUGGUACCAGCCUUGGGGAACCACCUACACUUGAGCCACAAUUGGUUUUGAAGUGCAUUUACAAGGUUUGUCUAUUUUCAGUUCUUUACUUUUUACAUGCUGACACAUACAUACACUGCCUAAAUAGAUCUCUUUCAGAAACAAUCCUCAGAUAACGCAUAGCAAAAUGGAGAUGGAGACAUGAUUUCUCAUGCAACAGCUUCUCUAAUUAUACCUUAGAAAUGUUCUCCUUUUUAUCAUCAAAUCUGCUCAAGAAGGGCUUUUUAUAGUAGAAUAAUAUCAGUGGAUGAAAACAGCUUAACAUUUUACCAUGCUUAAGUUUUAAGAAUAAAAUAAAAAUUGGAAAUAAUUGGCCAAAAUUGAAAGGAAAAAUUUUUUUAAAAUUUCUCUAAAUGUAGGCCUGGCUGGGCUUUGACCUUUUCCGUUUUUAAAUCACUCACAGAGGGUGGGACAGGAGGAAGAGUGAAGGAAAAGGUCAAACCUGUUUUAAGGGCAACCUGCCUUUGUUCUGAAUUGGUCUUAAGAACAUUACCAGCUCCAGGUUUAAAUUGUUCAGUUUCAUGCAGUUCCAAUAGCUGAUCAUUGUUGAGAUGAGGACAAAAUCCUUUGUCCUCACUAGUUUGCUUUACAUUUUUGAAAAGUAUUAUUUUUGUCCAAGUGCUUAUCAACUAAACCUUGUGUUAGGUAAGAAUGGAAUUUAUUAAGUGAAUCAGUGUGACCCUUCUUGUCAUAAGAUUAUCUUAAAGCUGAAGCCAAAAUAUGCUUCAAAAGAAGAGGACUUUAUUGUUCAUUGUAGUUCAUACAUUCAAAGCAUCUGAACUGUAGUUUCUAUAGCAAGCCAAUUACAUCCAUAAGUGGAGAAGGAAAUAGAUAAAUGUCAAAGUAUGAUUGGUGGAGGGAGCAAGGUUGAAGAUAAUCUGGGGUUGAAAUUUUCUAGUUUUCAUUCUGUACAUUUUUAGUUAGACAUCAGAUUUGAAAUAUUAAUGUUUACCUUUCAAUGUGUGGUAUCAGCUGGACUCAGUAACACCCCUUUCUUCAGCUGGGGAUGGGGAAUGGAUUAUUGGAAAAUGGAAAGAAGAAAGUAACUAAAAGCCUUCCUUUCACAGUUUCUGGCAUCACUACCACUACUGAUUAAACAAGAAUAAGAGAACAUUUUAUCAUCAUCUGCUUUAUUCACAUAAAUGAAGUUGUGAUGAAUAAAUCUGCUUUUAUGCAGACACAAGGAAUUAAGUGGCUUCGUCAUUGUCCUUCUACCUCAAAGAUAAUUUAUUCCAAAAGCUAAGAUAAAUGGAAGACUCUUGAACUUGUGAACUGAUGUGAAAUGCAGAAUCUCUUUUGAGUCUUUGCUGUUUGGAAGAUUGAAAAAUAUUGUUCAGCAUGGGUGACCACCAGAAAGUAAUCUUAAGCCAUCUAGAUGUCACAAUUGAAACAAACUGGGGAGUUGGUUGCUAUUGUAAAAUAAAAUAUACUGUUUUGAAAACUUUGU
rnacentral:lncRNA from 1 species